UGGGGAAUUUUGGACAAUGGGCGAAAGCCUGAUCCAGCAAUGCCGCGUGUGUGAAGAAGGCCUUCGGGUUGUAAAGCACUUUUGUCCGGAAAGAAAUCCUCUGGGUUAAUACAUCGGGGGGAUGACGGUACCGGAAGCAUAAGCACCGGCUAACUACGUGCCAGCAGCCGCGGUAAUACGUAGGGUGCAAGCGUUAAUCGGAAUUACUGGGCGCAAAGCGUGCGCAGGCGGUUUUGUAAGACGGAUGUGAAAUCCCCGGGCUUAACCUGGUAAGUGCAUGCGUGACUGCAAGGCGAGAGUAUGGCGGAGGGGGUUAGAAUUCCACGUGUAGCAGGGAAAUGCGUAGAGAGGUGGAGGAAUACCGAUGGCGAAGGCAGCCCCCUGGGCCAAUACUGACGCUCAUGCACGAAAGCGUGGGGUGCA
rnacentral:rRNA from 1 species